UAGUAAUCGCGGAUCAGCAUGCCGCGGUGAAUACGUUCCCGGGCCUUGUACACACCGCCCGUCACACCAUGAGAGCCGGUAAUACCCGAAGUCAGUAUCCUAACCGCAAGGGGGGAGCUGCCGAAGGUAGGAUUGGCGAUUGGGGUGAAGUCGUAACAAGGUAGC
rnacentral:rRNA from 1 species